AAAAAUUUGGUUUGUAUUCUCGUGUUUGUUAUUCACUAAUACCAUGACUUAUCAUUGUAUAUAUUGCAUUAGUAUGUUAUAUAUACCAUUUGAAACAGAUUGAAUCUUUAUUUCUUGAGGUUUCCAAUUAUCAGCAAUAAAUGAUAAAAAUACUUGUUUAUCGACCGUAUUUAAGGAACGCAUAAUAGUUGUGAAUAUUUCUAUAGCAUUUUGAACAGACAUGCUAGCAUUCUUAUCCAUACAAUACGUAAGUUGAGAAGCUGUUCAGCAGUGAUCCUCAGCAGCAAAGAGAGAUCUCAGUCUAUUGAUCUUCACUGGUCAGUUCCAACAGUAUCAUUGUUAUGGUUGUUGUUGCUGUUGUUUUGUCCGUUAAGAAACGAAGCCAUUUCCAUCUGCGACUGUUGUCCGGUCUGUUUAGAAACAUUUCGCUUCUUUCAAAUUUCACUCACAAAGAAGCAUGGACAUGUAGAUAAUAUAUAACGUACGUAUGUGGUGUUCGGAAAAUACAAAAGAAAAGCGGCUUCCAGAGAGAGUGCAGAGAAUGUGCAAGUAGAAUUUAAAGAACACGCGACCAAUGGCUAAAGCUAGAAAAAACUAAUCUUCUUAAUAUCGAGUAGUCUGAAAGCAGAAACACGUUAGUUGAAUGUAGAUAUAGUCGCGUGCAAAAGGUAGGAAGAAAGAAAAAGACAAAAAAUGCAAAAACUAACAAAGAAAAUUUAAAAAAA